UACAUGGGGUGCAAACGUUGCUCGGAAUUAUUGGGCGUAAAGCGCGCGUAGGCGGUUGCUUAAGUCGGAUGUGAAAGCCCUCGGCUUAACCGGGGAAGUGCACCCGAAACUGAGCAGCUUGAGUACGAAAGAGGGUCGCGGAAUUCCCGGUGUAGAGGUGAAAUUCGUAGAUAUCGGGAGGAACACCGGUGGCGAAGGCGGCGACCUGGGCUAACACUGACGCUCAUGCACGAAAGCGUGGGGAGCAAACAGG
rnacentral:rRNA from 1 species